UGUACAGAGCAGGAGAUGGAGAUUGUUACACUCGACUGAGUGAAUCGUGGCUCGGAGAGGAACGAGGACCAGAUGAGUCUGAAUGAACAGCAGCCCCUGGCUGGGAGGGACUUGGACUUGCAGGGGGAGACGCGCACGUUUACGCAACAAAUGGAAUAUAUGGGAACUAAGUCAGCCAAAGAAUCUGUCCCUUGGCAACCCCGAGGAGGAAAAGGCAGGAGCGAGAUCCUGGUGGACGUGGAGGCUUCGGGCUCCAGAUCUACACUGACGGCGUUGACAGACCACAACAGGGACCAUGAACAAAUUGUGGACAAACAUACGGAGAGAAUGUACAUUGUCCCAUGCAAAUGGAAGCCAUGAAUGUCUGCACUCGGAGCAUGGACAUGGGAAAACACUUUUCAA